UACGUAGGAUCCAAGCGUUGUCCGGAUUUACUGGGUGUAAAGGGUGCGCAGGCGGAAUGGUAAGUCAGAGGUGAAAUCUCAUCGCUCAACGGUGAAACUGCCUUUGAUACUAUCAUUCUUGAGUCCGAUAGAGAUCUGUGGAAUUCCGAGUGUAGCAGUGAAAUGUGUAGAUAUUCGGAAGAACACCAGUGGCGAAGGCAGCAGAUUGGGUCGGUGCUGACGCUCAGGCACGAAAGCAUGGGGAUCAAACAGG
rnacentral:rRNA from 1 species